AGUUGCAGAUUUUGGAGUAACGGAUCAUCCAGACUUAACUUCGAAACAGUGAGUGUGCAUGCCAACAUUAUUGGGAUUGUUUGUGAUUCUGUUCUAUGUAUAUGUACAUGUCAUUCUGUUAUAUUUAUUUACUUCAUUUACUUGGUUUGUUGGACAGUCCAUGAUGAAGAAGGCCGUGCUUUUGUGUUUUGUCCUGUUUGCGGUCAUUUCUGUGACCACCGCUGCUCAAUGCCUGCAACAGCAAGCAGGUUUCCUGAAUUGUUAUGAUAGGAUUGAUUUUAAAACGUACGGUGUUGGACAGGCCUGGGUGAACAGCAGAUGUCAGUUUUGCACAUGUAUGCCUGCAGCUAUGAGAUGCUGUAUGGGAAAACGAGAUGCAGCUGGAAAGUGCAAACUUGAAUAGCAGCACCGCUGGAAAAGAAAUCCAUAUAUUUACAAUGACGGAUUUGAGUCUCCAUGUUGUUCAACUGUGAUUAAUCAAAUGAUGAGACUCAUUUUAUACAAUGUCAUGAAACAAAUAUGAUUGACAAUAAAGCAACAAUGCAUUAUGCAAAUUA